GGAGCGUAGGCCGUCUGUUAAGCGUGUUGUGAAAUGUAGAUGCUCAACAUCUGAAUUGCAGCGCGAACUGGCAGACUUGAGUGUGCGCAACGUAGGCGGAAUUCGUGGUGUAGCGGUGAAAUGCUUAGAUAUCACGAAGAACUCCGAUUGCGAAGGCAGCUUACGGGAGCACAACUGACGCUGAAGCUCGAAAGUGCGGGUAUCGAACAGGAUUAGAUACCCUGGUAGUCCGCACGGUAAACGAUGGAUGCCCGCUGUUGACCCACCUGGGCCAGCGGCCAAGCGAAAGCAUUAAGCAUCCCACCUGGGGAGUACGCCGGCAACGGUGAAACUCAAAGGAAUUGACGGGGGCCCGCACAAGCGGAGGAACAUGUGGUUUAAUUCGAUGAUACGCGAGGAACCUUACCCGGGCUUGAAUUGCAGAGGAAAGAUCCAGAGAUGGUGAUGCCCUUCGGGGCCUCUGUGAAGGUGCUGCAUGGUUGUCGUCAGCUCGUGCCGUGAGGUGUCGGCUUAAGUGCCAUAACGAGCGCAACCCCUUUCUUUAGUUGCCAUCAGGUGAUGCUGGGCACUCUGGAGAUACUGCCACCGUAAGGUGUGAGGAAGGUGGGGAUGACGU
rnacentral:rRNA from 1 species